rnacentral:rRNA from 1 species
GCAGUCGACGGAAGGCCCUUCGGGGUACUCGAGUGGCGAACGGGUGAGUAACACGUGGGUGAUCUGCCCUGCACUUUGGGAUAAGCCUGGGAAACUGGGUCUAAUACCGAAUAUGACCAUGCGCCUCCUGGUGUGUGGUGGAGAGCUUUUGCGGUGUGGGAUGGGCCCGCGGCCUAUCAGCUUGUUGGUGGGGUAAUGGCCUACCAAGGCGACGACGGGUAGCCGGCCUGAGAGGGUGACCGGCCACACUGGGACUGAGAUACGGCCCAGACUCCUACGGGAGGCAGCAGUGGGGAAUAUUGCACAAUGGGCGCAAGCCUGAUGCAGCGACGCCGCGUGAGGGAUGACGGCCUUCGGGUUGUAAACCUCUUUCAGCACAGACGAAGCGCAAGUGACGGUAUGUGCAGAAGAAGGACCGGCCAACUACGUGCCAGCAGCCGCGGUAAUACGUAGGGUCCGAGCGUUGUCCGGAAUUACUGGGCGUAAAGAGCUCGUAGGUGGUUUGUCGCGUUGUUCGUGAAAACUCACAGCUUAACUGUGGGCGUGCGGGCGAUACGGGCAGACUUGAGUACUGCAGGGGAGACUGGAAUUCCUGGUGUAGCGGUGGAAUGCGCAGAUAUCAGGAGNNNNNCCNNNNNNGNAGNNNGGUCUNNNNNNNGUAACUGAC